GCAGGUCUUUUUGCCGAAAACAGAACAAAUGUCUACCGUCAGUAACCAACUGUGUGGCGGAAAGUCAAGUAUUAAAGAUGACAAUGCACAGGGGUACAAUUAUACGAUAAUAAUUAUUAACAGUCAAUCCGGUUACAAGACUAUCUUAUCGAGAUGUUGAAAUUGUCCUUCUUCAUCUCAACUUAAGGAUGAUAAAAUCCAAAUUUCAUGGUUUAGUGCUCCUAUAGGUAAAGAAGACAUUGAUAACCAUUUAACCACACAUUUUAAACAAUUUUGUAAAUACGCAAUAUUUUGCAAAGUGUGCUGUGCUUUUAUGUGAUCUAUGUGAAUACAUAUUUAAAAGGUAAAUGAAGUGUAAUGUAUAAUAGGUAAGUUUAUUGCAAAAUGGUACAAAAUAAAUAAAAAACUGACGAACAUUUCUGUCUAACAAUCUACCAAUUAUACCAAUAUCAGCCAAUAUCAGAUAAAGUAUAGAUACGUGCACAUUGUUAACAUAUGACAUUUCAAAACUUGCAAACUUAUUUCAAAAUGUGGAGGGAACAUAAUCACUAAAAUAUACCAGUUUCUUUAUUGUUACUGGCGUCUUUCUAAUAUGAAGUAAAUGGACAUUGACAGGUAGUGACAAAAUUCUGUACAUACGUAUUUACAGAAAAUUCUCGUAAAUCGGGGAUAAAUAUACUUAACAAUGGGAAAAGGAAAAGAUGGUGGUCUUGAAUGCUGUAUCGCAUGUGGCGCGGCAGCAUGUUUUUGUCUGGUGGUUAUGAUAGUCAUUGCAUUAGCGGGACUUGGUAUUGCUAAAAUUGUUAUGGGGGCUAUUUAUUUACAUGACUGUAGCAUCGAGGACCUCAUCCCGAUCUGGUUGAUUGUGAGUGGAUGCGCUCCAAUUCUGCUCGGUGGAUUUGGUAGACAAAAUGACGAGGACAGUGGCGACGGUAACAAUUUAUGCGGAACCAUUUGUGGUGUCAUCGGCUUCUUUUUCAACCUUGCUUGGCUCAUCUGUGGAAGUCUAUGGGUUUAUCCUAACUACAGUAUAGUAACAGCUGGGAAUUUUACAACAUGUACGGGAAACAUCACUACCGAUUGUACUCAAGGGAAUUGUGACAAAAGUCUCAUCACCUUUGCAUUUGCGAUGGCGACACUUGACUGGAUAUUCAUGGGCUUUUGGAUCGUUCUAAUCGGAUGUCUAAUUCUGAGAGCGUGUAAAGGUUAGGGAGAAGAUAUUGCUAAAGGUGUCCCGUGUAUGCUUGGAGAUACUGUGACAAGAACCUUCAACAGCAAGAUUUCUAAUCUACCUUAUCUUGAACUUGUUAUACUUCUGCAUAGAUUAUGUGAUAUAUAUUGUAGUCAGUGUAUAUGUUUCCCUUCACAAAAUUGCUUUGUAUAUACUUUUCGUGUCAAAUAUUAUAUUUUUGUUUUAUUAUGCGUUAAAGUUUCUUUACUAACUUUCCUCAGGAAAAAACAAAUGAAAGCAAUCUAAUAUAAAAAAGCAUGCAUUCGUCCUUGUUGUUUAUAGUGCAUGUAGAUGAUCGUAAGAAUAUUCUCGGCAAAACAGUUUCAUAUCAAACUCCCCAGGAAAUGUUGUUAUGGCUCGACAUUAAAGACAAUACACAUUGCGAAUCGUAAAAAAAACAACCUUGAAAUAUAUUCAUUCCAAGAAUUUGUAGCUAUAGAUACGCAGUUUGUUUUACAUAAAUCUCCAUACAUUUUCGUUGCAAAAAAUUAACUUUGAUGGCAUCAGAGAUUUGUGGUCAUGAACUCAGGUGAGGUCGAAUCCAGGACGUCUUCGGACAAGCAGCUGAUCCACCGGACAGCUACUUCCCUCAGUCUUUUGAAUGUCCACAAUUCAUGAGAAAAUUGAUAGAUGCACGCCUAACAUUUAAUAGUACGUAUCAAACAAUAUGUUUGAAAUCAUCGACAGCUUAUUGCACUUUGUAACAUACUAAUGAUAAAACGUUAUUGUAUAAUGCGUGAUAUUAAGAGAUUUACAGUUCAGAAGCGAAUCAACCACAAAACAAAAAAGUAUCAUUUUAACUGAGCAAAUCUAAACUAACAUUUUUGAUAUUUGAGUAUAACAGAAGCCUGUAUCCAAGUAAAAAGCAAAUGUAGACAUUAGGACUACUUCAAAUUUGAAGGCAUAUAGCCGGAUAAUUAGAUGCUUAAUGAGCCUUUUUCAGUAGUUGUAAGUCGGCAAAUAUGUUUGACCAUACUAAGUACUGGCUGAUUGAGUAUAAAAGUCCUCCUUUACAUUUCAUAAAAUUAGUUAAAGUCUUCAUUUCCGUUUGAUAAGAGGAUAUGUAAAAUUCUUUAUUAGCUCCAUAGUUCAACAAAAACCGUCAAAAAGACAUUCCUCUUUGACAUUUUAUAACAUUCAUUGUGAAUCAUAAUCAUGCAUGUUAUCACUAAAUUAGUUUCUUUAUCAUGGUUGCUGUUUGACAGAUACCACGACGUAUCAUUCAACCGACUAGGGAUACGCCGGUCUUGGUAAGAAACCCAGUUUCGUAGGUUUUAGAUAAAAGAACGCGCUCCGACGUGCCGGCCAAGUGAGCUGAAAAAAGUUUCUAAUUCAAAAAUUUCUAAUUUGUUAUGAUUUUCUUUUAUAAAAUCUUCUAGAAAAGUCAGCGAUUCUUUUCUUGUAGUAUGUUUCCACCUUUACGACCACACAUAUUUCCAAAUAAUUAUCGGAAUUUAUAUCGGGAAACUAUAUGAUGUCGGCGCUUAUCGGCGUGCGGGAUAAGACCCAGACAAUGCCUGUAGGUCAAACAAAUGCCUAGUCGGACGGCGUACGCCGUAUAAUGUGAAUGCAUUGGUCCACUCGAUCUAUAAAAUACUAUAGCUGCGAGCAUGUUGUGGACAAUUGUAAACCUAACACCUUUUAACAGUAACCUGGAAUAAGCACGAGGAGAACUUAUAUCAACUUGCUCAUUUUAUGUAGCAUGAUUGUCUAGCAUUAGCAAACCUGCCAUUAGAACUCACAUUUUUAGAACUGUGCUGUCCGGUAAAAGUUAAUGAAAAUGCUGUCAUUUUUUUAAAUAUCUGUGAUAAUCUAGAACAUUAUUCAGCCAGUCACAAAAAAAAAAUGAAAACACAGUAUCAAAAUUAAUAUGAAAUGAAAUAGCUAUCCAUCGCGCAAUGGGGCCAUUUUAAUUGUAGUUGUGACCUGUUUGCUUUUUUUUUUUUUAUUUUCUUUUUAACAUUUAUUUUCAAAGACGUAUAAUAUAUGACAGAAACAGUUUGCGCAAAUAAUAAUCAAAAUAAGGUUAAAACAUAAAUAGGGGUUUUCCUGAUUCUGCACUGUUUGCCUUUUUGGUAAGCGCCCCUUUUAACAGUUAAUGGUACUGUCCCAUUUAUAAGAUACACAGUCAAGUUCAUUUUAGAAAUUUAGCAGGGUAAGGGUUAAAGUAACAUGUUGUAAAAAUAUUUAGCCCCGUACAAGUGAUCAUUAAUAAAUAUGAUCUUCAAGAAAAACUUUAAGCCCCGAUCUCACAUUCCCGGUGACGGCCCCGGUUCCUCCCGGUAAACAUUAGCCGGUAUACCUGGAUGAACCGUGACAUUUUUUUGCAAAAAUGUAAGUUAGAACUCAUAUUCCCGGCCUUGUCCCGGUAAACCCCCGAUAAUGAAGCAGAAUCUACACUUUGAUCCCUGUUUAGUCCCGGUCUGAAACCAGAUAUCCACGGUGAUUGUCCGGCGUGAACCCGAUUUAUCCCGGUGUAACCCCGAGUGACCCGGGUCGUAGCCGGUAGUGCCCCGAUGACCGCCGGUAGCAUUCCAUCAAAGUCCGGCUGUGAUCCGGUGAUACACCGUCGCCUACCGGUACUCACUCGGCAGCAUCUAAAACAGGACGCACGUCGGAUCUCAAUCAGUUAUCUUGUAGUCACUAGAAGCGAAACAUCAUGCCGAAGACCAAGAAACCUGCCAGAAAAUCGCCACCAGGGGGAAGCCAAUUUGAAGACGACUCUACUGAGAGGCAAACAUAGAGCCAAACGGACGAAUACUCUGCUGGAAGGCAAAAACCUCCCUCCCCAAAUCAAGUUCAUGGUAAAUCGCCUUUGAAUCACUCCCCACAAUCUCCGAGGCAAAACCAAAAGAAAAAGAAGCCAAGAACAGCACCCUUACGUCUUACAGAUGAACAAGAUGUAACUGAUAAUACAUCCGUUUGAGCCUGUAUCUGUUCUAGUUAUUGAUAUACUAUAGUAAUUCAUUUUCGGGUGUUCUUAACAAACAUUCUAACUACUGAUUCAAACAAGGAUUGUUUAUGUUUUUAUAUCCUAUAUCACCAUAAUUAUUACUUCAUGUCACCGCAGCUUCAUUGUCUGUUACCGAUGUAGAUCCUUCUACCAUCGUGGUGUGACCGGAAUCACCCGGCACACACCUGGUUAAACCCGGACAGUCCGUUGUGAAACAGGGUUCUACCGGACUUAACCGGAGGUUUGCCGGCAUUUUCCGGAUAUAACCGGGAGUUAAUCGGCGAAUAAACCUAGGCUUACCGUAACUUUCUCUGACCCCACCGGUACAAGACGGAGCCAUACCGUGUUUCGCCUGCGAUAUGCCGUCCCAGGACCGUAGUUCGCCGCAGCUCUACCGUGUAUAAAGUGAUUGCCAGUGACCCCGGAUUACUACGGAAUAUCACGGUAGACACACGGUGGAUAUCCGGUGUUACCCCGGAAAUUGCCGGCAUUGCGCCGAUAUUGCACGGAAUAUGCCGGUUUUAGCCGUCGUUCCCGGUGAUUCCUGGUUGUAUUAAACAUUUUAAAACAACCGGGGCCGUUUGCCGGUUUGACAAGGUUCAUCAAGGAUCUUCCCGGACGUUCACGGAAUCGUCAAGGUUGUACGCAGGUUCAACAAGGUUGAACACGGUUUAACCCGGAUCACUGAACCGGGAUAACUGUGACAGUGAGAUCGGGGCUUUAAAUACGUUGUUUUGUUCCGUUCCACAAUAAGUUUGGUUGUAGAUUAUUUUUUACCAAAAUAAUAUCUGGAAUGUAUUUGGAACAAAUAUCUAGUGUUAUUAUUCGCUCUUUGUAAGGAUCAGUUAUAUGAAUUUAGAAUAAAGCUCUACCAUACAAGUAUACAUGUAAUAUCAUCUUUGACCACAACUAUAAAAGAGGUUUAAGUACUCGCAAUUUAAAUUUAUUCUAGGUUUGAAAAUAGACGCCAAGUCAUUUUUCAGAAAACCAGGUAUUGCAACUUUCGCAGUAACAUAAGCCGAGCGAAAGCGAAACUGGAAAUUCCAUGCGAUUAAGUAGUAUAAAUCAUGCGUGUCUUAGACUUUCGGAAGAUUUUAAACUAUAAGACAUUAUAUGAAUGGAACACGUUAUAGAACUAUUGAUUUGUGUCAGCUUCGAUUGCUCGUUUGGGAUUAAAAGCUAGAGAAAGGAAUCUGAGUGAGAUAUAGAAGAUCUGAUAUCAGUAUUCGCUGAAGAAAUUUACAAAUUAAAAAAAUAUGGGCAAAGGAAAAGAUGGGGGAGCAGAAUGCUGCGUGGCAUGUGGAGCCGCAGCAUGUUGCUGCCUGGUAAUUAUUAUAGUCAUCGGAUUAGCGGGGCUUGGAAUUGCAAAAAUUGUCAUGGGAGCGGUAUAUUUACACGACUGUAGUAUUGAAGACCUCAUUCCAGUCUGGCUGAUUGUGAGCGGUUGUGCUCCAAUUCUGUUUGGUGGAUUUGGUAAACAAAAUAACGAGGACAGCGGGGAUGGUAACAAUUUAUGCGGAACCAUUUGUGGUGUCAUCGGCUUCCUUUUCAACCUUGCCUGGCUCAUCUGUGGAAGUGUGUGGGUGUAUCCGAACUACGGAAAAGUAACAGCUGAUGAUUUCACGCCAUGCACGGGAAACGUCACUACUGGUUGUACUCAAGGAGACUGUAACAAAAGCCUGAUCACAUUCGCAUUUGCGAUGGCGACACUUGAUUGGAUAUUUAUGGGUCUUUGGAUCGCUCUGAUUGGCUGUCUCAUUGUCAGGGCAUGCAAGAAUUAGCUAUUUUCCAGUAUACGCUAGGAUGGACGUGACAACAUCGUUAUAAUGAGCUCAUGGUUAAGUUCAAUACUUCAUAAUUUCGUGUCUUUGAUCACUUCACUACAAGCAGUCAUCACGCGCACUUCUACUUUUACGUGUACGCAAACAUUUGAAACACUGUCUAGUUUCCCGCAUUGAAUUUUGCAGCUCAAACAGACAGCAUAUAAUAAUUUGACCCCGGAUAAAAAAAUCAACAGUAAUUUAUAUGUUAUUGCACAUAGAUCAUUAUGAAUAAAAUAUGUUAAUGAAGAUUUCUCGUCUAAAUAUAGAGCAAUGUCAUGGUACUUAAAAUGAUCUAUUUUUCGAACAUCAUGCAGAACGUAGAAAAAGACAACAUAGAAAUAGUUUUUAUUAUUUAUAGCUUAUAUCAGUUUGUAAAUAUUAAGUAAGAGUGAUACGAGCAUUGAAUAUGUGUCAGUAUUACUUGUUCUAAUGCGCUGUGUAUACGUUCAAUAUCGUGGUUGUUUGACAUAUAGUGCGCACUAUUUUUUAAGUGACAUGUGGCGGCUGUAAAAUGCUGUUCAACCUUCAACAGUGGCCUCCUGUAUUAAGCAACCACUUUUUUUAAGCAGCCAGUAAAUGAAUUUCCCAAACUUAUUUUGAUCUUCAUUCUAUCUUGUCUUAUAUAGCCUCCUGACUUAAGCAGCGAGAUUGUUUCUUUGGCUGGCUGCAUGAUAUAAGUUUGAGUGUAUAUUUUUUAAAAUUAGAGAAAAAUAUGGAGAAUAUAUUGGUCUUAUUUUAACUUGCAAUUUUACAAAUGUUAUUUACUAUUGCACAAAAAGGGUGGUGACGAGAAAUGGAUCUUUACUGCAGAAUUAAAAACAAGAGUUUUUGUUUGAAACAAACAAGAUAAUCCAUUUUGUUCUGUUGCUGUUUGAAUUAUUAAAAAUAUGGUCGUUAUAGCAAGAAAAAAAGUGAAACAUGACUUUUUACAAUUGUCAAAGGUUCUGUAAUAUUUACCUCCGGUUUAAACUGUAGUGGACUCCGCUACUGUGUGAAGGUUUCGAUACUCGCUUGUUUCCUAUUUUAACAUUUUUGGCAACAUUUACAUGACAUUCUAUGUUUUUAUCCUGCUACAUAUAUUACUAAUAUAUAUUUGAUUUAGGAGAUAAAAUGAAAUAAACGGAUGUUAUACAUUUAUUAUGGAAACAUGACUUUUUUAUAGAAUCUCAAAAUUAAAUUUUCUUGUCGUAAAUUGAAGAGAAUAAAGAUAGAAAGGUU